UUGUUGACCGUUUUUCAUGGAGAAUCCAUCUUUUCAACAAUAAAGAUGGAGGAGAGGACCAAGUCAGAGAACUGUUGACAAAGACAGGACACAUUGGAACAGAGAGAGACAGAAACUAUGAUCAAAUGGGUGAGGUUGAAGAUUCCUCUACCACAAUGAAGGUACCCAGCACUGAUGAUGAACCAAAGGAUCUUAUCCAACACAUGUUGGACCCUGAUGCAACAUGUGUUGAAACUGAUACUGACGAUCAACAAGCUGGUACAAACG